AUGAAGAACGCAGCGAAAUGCGAUACUUGGUGUGAAUUGCAGAAUCCCGUGAACCAUCGAGUCUUUGAACGCAAGUUGCGCCCGAAGCCACUAGGCCGAGGGCACGCCUGCCUGGGCGUCACACGCCGUUGCCCCCCCAUCUACUCCUUCGGGAUUGCGGGGGGGCGGAUGAUGGCCUCCUGUGCGCCUAGCCGCGCGGUUGGCAUAAAUACCAAGUCCUCGGCGACGCACGCCACGACAAUCGGUGGUUGCGAAACCUCGGUUGCCCGUCGUGUGCGUUCGUCGCGCAUCGAGGGCUCGAAAAAAUGCUCGGCUCCGGCUGGGCUUUCAACGUGACCCCAGGUCAGGCGGGGUUACCCGCUGAAUUUAAGCAUAUCAAUAAGCGGAGGA
rnacentral:misc_RNA from 1 species